rnacentral:rRNA from 1 species
UACGGAGGGGGCUAGCGUUGUUCGGAAUUACUGGGCGUAAAGCGCACGUAGGCGGCUUUGUAAGUUAGAGGUGAAAGCCCGGGGCUCAACUCCGGAAUUGCCUUUAAGACUGCAUCGCUAGAAUUGUGGAGAGGUAAGUGGAAUUCCGAGUGUAGAGGUGAAAUUCGUAGAUAUUCGGAAGAACACCAGUGGCGAAGGCGGAUUUCUGGACCAGUUCUGACACUGAUGAGCGAAAGCCAGGGGAGCAAACAGG